rnacentral:rRNA from 1 species
CCUACGGGGAGCAGCAGUCGAGAAUCAUUCACAAUGGGGGAAACCCUGAUGGUGCGACGCCGCGUGGGGGAAUGAAGGUCUUCGGAUUGUAAACCCCUGUCAUGUGGGAGCAAAUUAAAAAGAUAGUACCACAAGAGGAAGAGCCGGCUAACUCUGUGCCAGCAGCCGCGGUAAUACAGCGGUCUCAAGCGUUGUUCGGAGGCACUGGGCGUAAGGCGUGCGUAGGCUGUUUCGUAAGUCGCGUGUGAAAGGCGCGGGCUCAACCCGCGGACGGCACAUGAUACUGCGAGACUAGAGUAAUGGAGGGGGAACCGGAAUUCUCGGUGUAGCAGUGAAAUGCGUAGAUAUCGAGAGGAACACUCGUGGCGAAGGCGGGUUCCUGGACAUUAACUGACGCUGAGGCACGAAGGCCAGGGGAGCGAAAGGGAUUAGAUACCCGGGUAGUC